UGUGGUAUACAGAGAUGUACUUUGCAUCAUUGAAUGAGCAAGCUCGUCCAUCCUGCCUUAGUUUGUUGUUGUUGUUCUGUUUUGUUUUGUUUUAGGCUUUUAGCAGCCUGACGCCUUGGUUAAGUUGAAUUGCUUUAAAUGGUGACUCUAAAUUCAACUUAAUCAGAAUCUCUAGAGGUGAGUCACAGGGUUGGGUAUGUUUUAAAUCUCCUCAGGUGAUAAACAUGGUUUAUUUAAGUGAAUUAGCUCUUAGUGCAUAACCUCUUCAACCUGCACCUCCUCUUUGCUCCAACAGGAUCACUUUCCAGCCAUGUUCAUUAUGAUCAACAAUUCCUGGAACUCACAGAGGAGCAAUAGACACUUGUGUUCCAAUAAUGCAGAGUGGAGGAAUUUCAAAUAGCUGAAGCAUUCAGUAGAAUCUCCAGAAGGGGUAGUGAGACAGCUUAUCUAGCCCUAGACUAAAGGCUAUUCUAGACCUGUCCUAAUAAUGCUUAAAAGCAAUCCUCGAAACUUUGGCUGAAAGAAGGGGAUAGGACAAAGUUUAAGGUGUUAAAGAAGUAAGAACAGGAACAGUUGUGGUAGGCGGUUUGUAGGAAAUUGGGAAUGAAAUGAAAGAUUGUUCCUCUGAAAUGCCAACAUUGCAGAACGGUGUUGGAGGGUCAAUCAAUUUCCACCUCUUAACUUUCUCCAGAAGGGCUCAGCA
rnacentral:lncRNA from 10 species